AGUGAACGCUGGCGGUAGGCCUAACACAUGCAAGUCGAACGGCAGCACAGUAAGAGCUUGCUCUUACGGGUGGCGAGUGGCGGACGGGUGAGGAAUACAUCGGAAUCUACUUUUUCGUGGGGGAUAACGUAGGGAAACUUACGCUAAUACCGCAUACGACCUACGGGUGAAAGCAGGGGAUCUUCGGACCUUGCGCGAUUGAAUGAGCCGAUGUCGGAUUAGCUAGUUGGCGGGGUAAAGGCCCACCAAGGCGACGAUCCGUAGCUGGUCUGAGAGGGUGAUCAGCCACACUGGAACUGAGACACGGUCCAGACUCCUACGGGAGGCAGCAGUGGGGAAUAUUGGACAAUGGGCGCAAGCCUGAUCCAGCCAUACCGCGUGGGUGAAGAAGGCCUUCGGGUUGUAAAGCCCUUUUGUUGGGAAAGAAAUCCAGCCGGCUAAUACCUGGUUGGGAUGACGGUACCCAAAGAAUAAGCACCGGCUAACUUCGUG
rnacentral:rRNA from 1 species